rnacentral:rRNA from 1 species
UACAGGGGGUGCAAACGUUGCUCGGAAUCAUUGGGCGUAAAGCGCACGUAGGCGGUUCGUUAUGUCGGAUGUGAAAGCCCUUGGCUUAACCGAGGAAGUGCAUCCGAAACUGGCGAGCUAGAGUACGAAAGAGGAUCGCGGAAUUCCCGGUGUAGAGGUGAAAUUCGUAGAUAUCGGGAGGAACACCGGUGGCGAAGGCGGCGAUCUGGGUCGAUACUGACGCUGAG